CCGAGAGUAACCUUCCUAGAAAAGAGUGUGGAAACUCAGAACCAGGCCUCCGAGGCCAUCCCUGCCUCCUAGACCUUGGGCACACCAUUGUCUUCUUGCCAUGUCUUUCUGAUUAUCCUUUCUCAGUCGCCCUGACUCCUCCCCUGCUUCUUCCUUGAAUAUCAGGCUCCCACAGCUCUACUCUCUAGCUUAUCUUCUUGCACUGCACUGCAUCGAAACCCCUACUCCCAGUUUCUCCUCCAAGCUUAGAAUCCAAAUUUCCAAUUACAUAAUGGGACACUGCAAAUUUAAUAUAUCCCAAACUAGCCUUGGCUCCUUCACUCCCUUUCUCAACCCCAGACAGAAAACAUAAGCAUCUCCUUCAGCCGUCCCUCCCCUCCUGCACUUCAGCUGGGGGAGCAGGAAGUCCUCGGGACUUGGUCUUGGAAGCAUCUCUCCAUCCAAUCCUCCCCUCUGCCUACUGGCACAGCCUAGGUCAGCCCCCAUCCUGUGUCAGCAGCACUGGGAAGUCACCUCCUAAUCUUAGCCUCCUCACUCCUCUCUCUACACACAUCCGACACACUCUACUUCACCCCACACAUCAAGAACCAACUCUGAUCUGUUCCAUGUGGAAGACUAUGUAUCCCCCUUCUUUGCCUAAAUGAACAGAGCUUCCAUUCCUUAUCAGAAAACACCAGGCCAUAGAUAAUGUGACUCUAAUACAAGCUUCCAGGUUUAUAUCUUCCUGUGUCUCUCCCCCUCACCCACACAUCCACACCUCUCUCUCUCUCUCUCUCUCUCUCAUUCAUUCCACUUUCCAGCAAUAAGAGUAUCUAAAAUACCCUUCCAUUAUCCUGGUGACAUCAGCCAUCAGUCAGUAUUUAGCAAUAUGAAAAUUAAUUCCAGUGGAAAAACCACAUUGUAGAAUUAAGCAAACCCGUGAAGUAGUUUUGAGUUGAAAAAAGAAAAAUUGAUCUAUGUCAUUGUUUGACUAAGGAAAUAAAGGAUCACUUGAAUAGUAAGAAUAAGAUUUUUUUCUAAAUCACAUGAUGCAGACCUUGAGCGUUAAUUCUUCAGCCUGAGACUAUCUACAUAAGAAAC
rnacentral:lncRNA from 1 species